CCUAUGGAUGAAGAAGAUUUAGUUGCUUAUGUUUUAAAUGGAUUAGAUGAUGAUUUUGAACCCAUUGUAUCUGCUAUUGUGGCAAAGAACGAAUCUGUCACAAUGGCGGAAGUAUAUUCUCAAUUGCUUAAUUUUGAGA
rnacentral:snoRNA from 1 species